GACGUAGGAUGCAAGCGUUGUCCGGAAUUAUUGGGCGUAAAGAGUUCGUAGGCGGUUACUUAAGUCUGGUGUUAAAUACUGGUGCUCAACGCCAGCAUGGCAUUGGAAACUGGGUAGCUAGAGUGUGUCAGAGGUUACGGGAAUUCCUGGUGUAGCGGUGAAAUGCGUAGAUAUCAGGAGGAACACCGGUGGCGAAAGCGCGUAACUGGGGCAUAACUGACGCUGAGGAACGAAAGCCAGGGGAGCGAAAGGG
rnacentral:rRNA from 1 species